rnacentral:rRNA from 1 species
CAGGGUUACUUUGAGGUAGUUGAUAAUUGUUUUGAGGUUAGGUUGAGUACCUUUUGCAUCAUGAUCUGUUGAUGGAAUUUUCUGUUUUGAAUGGAUCCGAAAAGCGUCGAUAGUUAUCUUUAUUGCUUGGAGCUUGUAAUCUAAAGCGGGUAGUUUAGGGUAAAUAAAGGUAAGGUUGUGAUAAGUGAUUCGGGAUGCUUAAUAUCUGGUUGGAGAGUUUAUUUGGUGUUUAAUCUUUCCGGCAAGGAUGUCGGUUAGUGGUUUAUAGCGAGAAUGGUGUUUUGGGUUCUUAUGGGUUAAAAUUACCCCCAGGUAUGGUGUGUGUUAAUACUCUUUGAGAGCGUGUUUCGGCUUAAUUACUGUAUUCUCUCUAGGAAUUUUAUAAUCAUAGUAUGAUAGAAUAAGUAGGUUUAGAUUAGUUUCAUCCUUUCUCGGUUGUUUCCGGUCUGUUUAUUAAAAACAUUUCUAUCUGUAUAUUGUUAGAUAGUAGUGCCUGCCCACUGCGUAAGUGAAGGGCCGCAGUAUUUUGACUGUGCUAAGGUAGCAUAAUUAGUUGCCUCAUAAUUGGGGGAUUGUUUGAAAGGUUUGACCAGGGAAUUUGAACUAGGUUGAAGUUUUAUCUGAAAUUGGGUUGCUGGUGCAGACCCCAGCAUUUUUAAGUUAGACGGAAAGACCCCGAGAUCUUUAUGUUGCGAUAUUUACUUGGGGCAAGGUUAUAUAUUUUAUGUGAUUUUUGAUCCUAAGGGAUAAUAGGAUUAAGUUACCUCGGGGAUAACUAGGUAAAAAGCGAGGAGAGGCCAAAUCGAUUCGCUUGAUUGCCAUCUCGAUGUUGACUUGGGAAAUAUGAUAGGGUGCAGAAGUCUUGUUAUAUGGUCUGUUCGACCAGCGUUCCCUCAUGAGUUGAGUUAAGACCGGCGUGAGCCAGGUCGGUUCUUAUCUAUUUUUGGUGUAAAUUAGUACGAAAGGAUUGUUUACGCUUUAGGUU